GCGGGUGUAGCUCAGCUGGUAGAGCACAACCUUGCCAAGGUUGGGGUCGCGGGUUCAAAUCCCGUCGCCCGCUUUU
rnacentral:tRNA from 1 species